GACACGGUCGCCUCCGCUAGCUUUCUUCCCCAUUUCGUCGCAUCGGCAUCCUCUUGCUUCACACGCGCACCGCGAUUUUUUUAAUUUGGGGGUUGGUCUCUCUAUCUGGUCGGCGGCGGCGGCGGAGGGCGUAGCGAGGAUGGAGACGGCGGCGGCGGCGAUGCUGGAGGCCGGGGUGGGGCGGUUCUCGCGGGCGCCGGCGCUGGCCGCGGCGCUGCUGGCCGAGAUGUGGGCGCCGCUGGCCGUGGCGCUGGCGGCGCUAGCCACGCUGCCCAGCCUGCUGCGGCGGCUGCAGGUCAUCGUGCUGCGCCUCCGCUCCCGGGGGAAGGAGGUCAUCCAGUCGCACAUCGGGACCUACUACUCCUCCGGCGACGAGGAUGAUGAGGAUGAGGACGGCGACGAGCAUGACGAAGAGGAGAGCUCCGACGAGGCGGACACGAGCUCCUCCGGCGAGGAGGAGGAUCUGAAGCGGAUCGGGUUCUACGACGGCGCGGCGGACGGCGGCUUCCCCUGGGGCGGCGCCGUCGUCCGGACCUGGCAGGGCCUGCCGCGCGCCCUCUCCGGCUGCUCCAUCUCCACCUCCCUCGGCGGCGGUGGCGCGAGGUUCGCCGCCAUCAACGGGGCGCUUCCGGCGGUGAGGCUGUGGGCCGCCAGCACGGCCAGCUGCGAGCAGUGGUGGGCCGGCGCCGAUGAAGGCGGCUGCGCCGGCGGCGCGGCCGCGGAGGCGCUGCCCUCGCCCCCGGCGCCGGCGGACCAGGUGGUCGUCGGGUGGCGGCGCGACGACGCCGCGUCCCGGCGCCGGCGGCGUGCCCCGCUGCCCCGCCGCGUCCACGCCAACUGAAACAGGACGGGACGGGGUCACGGGGAGGGACCGGUGGGUGCGAGAGGCCGAUGUGAAUAUGCCGCAGGGCGACCAGCUGGAGAUGCCGAUUCCCCCGUUGGGGCCCACCUGCCAGUGGGAGGGGCUAAUGAAUAAGGAGGGGUGAUUAGUAUUGUGGGGGAGUGGUUAGGCGCCGCGCCGGAUUGGUUGGUGAGAUUAUUAUUUCAAAAACAAAUUGCUUAUUGAUUAGGGAAGGAACCAGAGGAAAAAGGAAAAAAGCAUUGGGGGCAGGUGCGAGGUGCACUGCGUGUUGUUGCUGUACACUUGUACUGCGCCUAGCUUGCUGGAAUUAGAAAUGCAUGCUGCAGCUGCUCAUUUUCUCUUGGAGAUGACGGUAAAAUCUUGCGCGCGUGUAAUCUGUGCCGCCAUUCUUUGAUUCAUGCGGCGAUGUGAUGAAUAAGGAAAAGAAAAUAGUACCGGUGCGGUGCUCCAGUCCCCUUGUUUCUCGAUGUGCCUGGAUGUGCAGUGUUGGGAGACAGAUGUUUAAACUUUAGCUCUUUGUCACAUUAGAUGUUCGGACGUUAAUUAAGAGUUAAUUACAAACUAAUAGCAGAACCUCUAAGCUAAAUUGAAACAUGAUCUAAUUACAAAACUAAUAGCAGAACCUCUAGGUUAAAUCGCGAGACGAAUCUAUUAAGUCUAAUUAAUCAAUCAUUGUCAAAUCAUGAACAAAUUAGAUUUAACAGAUUCGUCUCGCAAUUUAGCCUAGGUUGUGCAAUUAGUUUUGUAACUAGUCUAUGUUUAAUAUUCUAAUUAGGGUGUUUGGAUACCCCAUACUAAAAUUUAACACCUG
rnacentral:lncRNA from 1 species